AUUGAACGCUGGCGGCAUGCCUUACACAUGCAAGUCGAACGGCAGCGGGCCUUCGGGUGCCGGCGAGUGGCGAACGGGUGAGUAAUGCAUCGGAACGUGCCAUUGAGUGGGGGAUAACGUAGCGAAAGUUACGCUAAUACCGCAUAUUCUGUGAGCAGGAAAGCAGGGGAUCGCAAGACCUUGCGCUCUGGGAGCGGCCGAUGUCGGAUUAGCUAGUUGGUGGGGUAAAGGCCUACCAAGGCGACGAUCCGUAGCGGGUCUGAGAGGAUGAUCCGCCACACUGGGACUGAGACACGGCCCAGACUCCUACGGGAGGCAGCAGUGGGGAAUUUUGGACAAUGGGCGCAAGCCUGAUCCAGCCAUGCCGCGUGAGUGAAGAAGGCCUCGGUGUAAGACUCUUUCGGU
rnacentral:rRNA from 1 species